GGACGAACGCUGGCGGCGUGCCUAACACAUGCAAGUCGAACGAAGCAUUUAAGUGAAUCCCUUCGGGGUGAAGCUUUUAUGACUUAGUGGCGGACGGGUGAGUAACGCGUGAGUAACCUGCCUUUCAGAGGGGGAUAACGUUUGGAAACGAACGCUAAUACCGCAUAACAUAUUCGGACGGCAUCGUCUGAAUAUCAAAGGAGCAAUCCGCUGAAAGAUGGCCUCGCACCUGAUUAGAUAGUUGGUGAGGUAACGGCUCACCAAGUCGACGAUCAGUAGCCGGACUGAGAGGUUGAACGGCCACAUUGGGACUGAGACACGGCCCAGACUCCUACGGGAGGCAGCAGGUGGGGGAUAUUGCGCAAUGGGGGAAACCCUGACGCAGCGAUGCCGCGUGGAGGAAGAAGGUUUUCGGAUUGUAAACUCCUGUCUUCAGGGACGAUAAUGACGGUACCUGAGGAGGAAGCUCCGGCUAACUACGUG
rnacentral:rRNA from 1 species